AUGAACGCUAGCGGCAGGCUUAACACAUGCAAGUCGAGGGGCAGCAUAAUGGAUAGCAAUAUCUAUGGUGGCGACCGGCGCACGGGUGCGUAACGCGUAUGCAACCUACCUUUAACAGGGGGAUAACACUGAGAAAUUGGUACUAAUACCCCAUAAUAUCAUAGAAGGCAUCUUUUAUGGUUGAAAAUUCCGAUGGUUAGAGAUGGGCAUGCGUUGUAUUAGCUAGUUGGUGAGGUAACGGCUCACCAAGGCGACGAUACAUAGGGGGACUGAGAGGUUAACCCCCCACACUGGUACUGAGACACGGACCAGACUCCUACGGGAGGCAGCAGUGAGGAAUAUUGGUCAAUGGACGCAAGUCUGAACCAGCCAUGCCGCGUGCAGGAUGACGGCUCUAUGAGUUGUAAACUGCUUUUGUACUAGGGUAAACUCACCUACGUGUAGGUGACUGAAAGUAUAGUACGAAUAAGGAUCGGCUAACUCCGUG
rnacentral:rRNA from 1 species